AUUGAACGCUGGCGGCAGGCCUAACACAUGCAAGUCGAACGAGUGGCGGACGGGUGCGUAAUGUCUGGGAACCUGCCUGGUGGAGGGGGAUAACUACUGGAAACGGUAGCUAAUACCGCAUACCAUCAGAGGUGCCCAGAUGGGAUUAGCUUGUUGGUGGGGUAACGGCUACCCAAGUAGACGAUCCCUAGCUGGUGUGAGAGUAGGACCAGCCACACGGGAAAUGAGACAAGGUCCAGACUCCUACGGGAGGCAGGAGUGGGGAAUAUUGCACAAUGGGGGCAAGCCUGAUGCAGCCAUGCCGCGUGUAUGAAGAAGGCCUUCGGGUUGUAAAGUACUUUCAGCGGGGAGGCGUUACCCGCAGAAGAAGCACCGGCUAACUCCGUGCCAGCAGCCGCGGUAAUAC
rnacentral:rRNA from 1 species